rfam:Brachypodium distachyon strain Bd21 chromosome 1, whole genome shotgun sequence.
CUGCACGGGGCUAACACCGGGCUUGUCGGAUUGAAGCUCUGGAGAAGGAAGACCCAGUGCUUGUGCUAGAUUCACCACGCCAUUCAGUGUUGGAGAUCAUGACAAUUUUUGUGAUUGAGUGGUCUGUCAAAGUAAUGGGUACUCUC